rnacentral:lncRNA from 1 species
UCUUUUUUUUUUUUUUGGAGAUGGAGUCCCGCUGUGUCGCCUAGACUGGAGUGCAGUGGCGCGAUCUUGGCUCACUGCAACCUCCGACUCCUGGGAUCAAGCAAUUCUCUUGCCUCAGCCUCCCGAGUAGCUAGGAUUACAGCACCCACCACCAUGCCCAGGUAAUUUUUUUUGUAUUUUUAGUAGACAUGGGGUUUCACCAUGUUGGCCAGGCUGGCCUCGAACUCCUGACCUCGUGAUCUGCCCGCUUCGUCCUCCCAAAGUGCUGGGAUUACAGGCAUGAGCCACCACGCCUGGUCACCACCACUUCUCUCUGUGUGGCUUUAAGCAAGUUACUUAAAUUCCCUGCACUUCAGUUUUCCGUAGAGUUCAUGUACAUCAGUUGUCAAAGGGCAGAUGUCUGGCACAUUGGAAAUAUUACCGAAUGUUAGUUAUCCGUGAAUCGGGGGACUGAUUUUAUAACCACCCAAAUCAUAUUUAUUUCCUAGAGGAAUGAAGAUGAAAAUAGUGGUGGUUAGUGUCUAGCAUCGCACUAUGUUUGCCAAGAUUAAUUUGCAAUGAGCCGUUUUCAAACAGGAUGUUCAGCCACUAUAUGUACUUCUUGAAGUAACCAGCAGGUGGUGAAGUUGGAUUAUAUUUUAGAUGGUCAGGGCCUGGUGUACCUCUUGCCUGGGGUUUUGUGAGAGAAAAAAAAUAGCUUUCUUUUUUAUCAGCACCCCAAACCAUUAACAUCUGGAAUCAAUAGAGGCUGUAUCUGUCACUUAAUGCUAUAGAAAUUGCAAGAAAAAAGUCCUGCUGGUUAGUAUACCAGUUCUCAAAAUGUCAGCAUCAUUUGUGUCACCUGGGGGUACUUGUCAGGAAUGCAGUCUCUCUGGUCCCACCCCACAGGAUGGAACUGGAAACUAAGGAUGAGCCCAGUCAUCUGUGUCUUCAAGAACUCUCCAGUGAUUCUGGUGCACUUGUGUUAUAGAACCGCUGUGCUAGAGGUCUUAGUAUUUCCUGUAAUCCCAGCACUUUGGGAGGCUGAGGCGGGCAGAUAAUUUCAGCCCAGGAGUUUGAGAUCAGGCUGGGCAACAUGGCGUAACUUCGUCUCUACAAAAAGUACAGAAAUUGACCCAGCAUAGAGUCGUGCACCUGUAGUCCCAGCUAUUGAGGAGGAUGAGCUGGGAGGAUCAUUUGAGCCUGGAAGGCAGAGGUUGCAGUGAGUGGAGAUCGUGCCACUGCACUCCAGCCUGGGACAGAGUGAGACCCUGUCUCAAA